rnacentral:lncRNA from 1 species
GGUAUGUAAAAUCUUGAAUUGCAGGUUUUUGUUUUUCCAAAUAAAUUGAAACUCUCACAGUGAGAUUCAUAUUCAUGUUACUGAUUAGGAAAUGGAGUUCAUUUUUUCAUUCAUUUCUUAUUACUAACAUUUUCUUUUUUCUUCAAAAACAGGUGGAGUUGGCAUAGCAAAUAUGGUAGAGAAGAUUGAGAAUCAUCAGUACAUGGGAUUUGAGAACCUCUGUACCUAUGAAUCCUAGGCUUGCUUUUAUUUAACCAUUAUUUUUCUUUACAUUCAAAUUUCUCAUAUGUCAAUUUGUGAAUCCCAGGAUGUUGGCCAAUCAAUGCAAACUAUCCUGGUGUGAAUAAUGGUUAGCUUGUGCCAAAUUUUUAUGUUUCACAUGUACACCACUCAUGGCCUGAGCUUUGGAUAUUUUAUCACUAGAAAUUUAAUCUGUUGUAGUUCGCAAAUGCAUAAAUUCAUUAUUGUAUUUGGCAAAAUAAAAUCUUAUCACCUCUACAAUUUUUAUAUUGACCUAUUAAAUACUCCAAUCUAUAAAAUUGUAUUUAUUGAAUGCUUUAAUUUGUAAAUUUUUUUUAUUAAACACUUUAAUUUUUAAAUUUAAAUUAAUUAAGUAUUUAUUAAAUAGUUAAAAAAAAUAAAAAUUAUUAUUUUAAAAAUUAUGCUAAUUACAUAUUAAAUUAAUAUUUCACUUAUAAAAACCAAAAAUAUCAAAAAAUUAUUGUUGUUAAUAUAAAAAAGUGUAUAAUGUUAUCAAAAUUCUGGUUCUAUGAUUUAAAUGUGGUGACACAAAAUUUUGUUGUGUAAAGUACAAAAGUGAAUUUUGCAUUUGGCUACAUAAACAAGAUAAAAGAUUAUCUUUUUAGUAAGUUCUCUCCUAAACAAAAGGAUAAAUUAAAAGAUACUUGCUUCGUCUCAUGAUUAGAAGCUCACUUUUCGACUCAAAAUGCAAUCCUAUUUCUAUUUUAAAAAUUAUUUAUUAUUUAAUUUUUUAAUAUACUCAUAUUUAAUAUAUAUCUACAUUCCUAAUUGUAUAUACUACAAUUAUUAACAGAUGAGUAUUAAGAAAAAAAAAAUGAAACAAAAUAUAGCUAAAUUAAUUUAGUCUAUGUGAAAAUCAAAUUAAGCAUAUAUACACACACACAGGACGUGAAAAAUCAAAUCAAGCCUAUAUAUAUAUAUAUAUAUAUAUAUAGGCACGUGCGGGAUGGAGAGAGUACCUCGUAAAGCAAUCCACCUGCCUGUGCUAUGACCAGUAUAUCCGUUGCCGACCAUAUAAUUCUUAACGUCGACUUUUGGGUGAACGUUUACAUCAAGGAACAACAGAAUGUUAACUAGAUGACAAAUUCCUUCCAUGAAAGGCAAAAAUUAUAACAGCCAAUGUUGUCAAUGUGUUAUCCAAGAUAGUGGAAUUGGCCAAUGAUAAAAGCCACCAAGGCAUAAAAACAUAGCCCAUCUCCUUUUUUUUUUCUCUUUUUUCAUGACAGUCUGUAGUAUGAUUAGUAUUAUAUAAAUAUAUAAAAAAAAUACAGGGACCUAAAAGAAUUGUCUUUUAGACUGUAGAACUACCAGGUUUGCUUUCAUGAUGUGACUUUGAAACAAUGUCUGAACAAAUGCAAACAAAUUUAAUGCCUUGAUAGACUGUAACAUUUCUUCCAGGAUUUCAUGGAGAAACUCGUCCAGCUUCUUCGUCUCUCUUCUUUAUGUAGCUAAAUUCUUAGUAUUUUUAAUCACUGUAUCCUAUAAUUCAUCUUUGGAGGCUUGCUUUUUGGCUCUUGAAUGUUUGUUGAUGACUGCUGCUAAGUCCUUUGAGCUGGAUUUUGUCGAAAGCUUGAUCUCCAAACCAAAAAAAAAAAAAAAAAAGAUUUUCAUUCGUUCAGAAUGCAAAAAACUAUACCAAGUAUGAGAAAAAGAAAAGGGAAUGGGAAUGGGAAUGGGUACGCAUAUCCUUAUUUGAUUACCGGAUUUACUUUAUCUGUUGCGGUGUGCCCACUUAAAUGGGACCCACAUGUGUGAAAGUAAGAAAAAAAUAGGAGCAGCCAGUUCAACAGUGAUGGCUUUGAAUUGCUACACAUGGACGGUGAGCAUGUUAGGCGGUAAACGCGUUAAUUACGCGUCUCUCAUUCCCUAUAAAUAGAGGCAACUGCAACUCACACAACACACAGCAGAAAUACGAAGGAAAAAUGUAGAGAGUUAGUUAACCAGUUUUAGGAAGGGUUUCCUAAAACUAGGGGAGAGAAAAAUAGUGAAGAUUAUUUUGGGGUGUUUUUGGGAAACACUUUGUGUGCUAUUAUUUUUAUAUUACUCUCUUUGGGUACCUACUAUUUUUAAUAGUGGAAGAAUGAUUCAGAGUUUGUUCCGUGGACGUAGCCCUAAACAGUUGAGGGUGAACCACGUAAAUUUCUGUGUGUCACAUUUCUAUUUUUCCGCUGCGUUAAUUUUCUCUUAAUUGGUUAAAAGGGCCUAAUAAUUGGUAUUAGAGCCUGAUUCUCAACAUUAUCGCCCUCUGGGUAAAACAGAAGUGUUGGGUAGUCAUCCACCUGCAAGAAUCAAUAAAUAACAAGGGUUAGCUUCUUAGCAUCAUCAAUUUGCAAAAUCAGUGAUCUUACAGUUACAAUGAAAGGAUCCAAAGUUUUCUUGUUAAUGGCAUUCUAGUAACUCUUUAAGUUGCUGGAGAAAGAAAAGAACUCCUUGAAUGUUGAAAUUGCAUGACAACCAUAACUAAUGAUUCACAAUAUUCAUCAGGUUGUAAGACACAUUUCAAGCUAAGUGGAAUCAAGAUGAUAAAUUUUUUCAGCAAACAAAUGAAAGAAAUCAAUAUGGUCAUCUGGACGCAACAUCAACUAGGAAACUUGUUUUAAUAGUUAAUGCUGUUGCCAUGCGUGUGAUGAAGGACUUAAAAUGCUUAUGACAUACCUGCAGUUUUGGAUGUUCAUUUGCAGAAGCAUCUAUCUUUCCAAUCACUAAAUUCUCCAAACCUUUGAAAUGCUUGGCCAAUUUCUGGACCUGCUUACUUGUAGUCUCACAAUUGAUGCACCAUGGUGUAUAUACCUGUUCUUAUAACACAAGGUAUUUCAUGAAGAAAGUUAAUAGAUUUCACUUCACAAUAUUAAUAUAAUUUUAUUGAAAAUAAUAUAAAUACAUAUGAUUUAUUUUAUAUAUUUAAUAUGGAUUUGUGAAUUAUAAAUUAGUAUUAGUUAGGUAAAUUGCUUCCAUUUUUGUAUGGUAACAAGGACAAAUUAGAAGCGAAACAAAAAUAAAAAAGGAUCCCCAUUUUCUUCUCAAAGCAUCGCAUUUCGUGUGACAAACGAAUGAUUGUUUUUAAUAUAAUAUUUGUUACAUUUAGAAUUAUACAUUUUUUAAACAAAAUCAUUAAAUUUGUCUAAAAUUUAUAAUAAAUUAUUCAAUAAAUAGACUAUAUUACUCUUAAUUUAAUAUUUAUUCUCUAAAAAACUUUAAAUUCAAGUAACAAUUAUUAGUUAUAUACAAUGAUAAAUAUGAAAAAAAAUUAUUACUUUUUAAAAUCACAAAUAUAAUAAGACAAAAUUUAAUAAAUAUUCUUUUCAGAAUAAAAGAAAUUCAAUAAUUGACAUACUAGAAAAGUUACAAUAUUUAGUAAUAAAUCAUCUUGCAUUACAUUCCACUCCACAAUGGGAAAAAGAGAAGGUGAAAGUCAAAAGUAAUAGUACAAAGCCAAAAGAGGCUCAUAGAGUUAUGGAGGUUGAAGAACUUCAUCUUCUUCAUACAUAUAUAUUUUGAGAUUUGACAGUUGCAAUUGCACGGAAUACUAUGGUUACGUAAUAAGAAUAAUUAUCUCUUUGAUUCGUAAUCAUGAGAUGUUAAUUUCAUUCUUCUUACAUUAUUGGGUUACCACCACAUCGGAUUUUGUUUUUUUUUUUUUUUUUUUUUUUUUUUUUUUUUUUUUUUUGUUUUAAAAAGAAACUUAUCAAAUUGUUGAAUAUAUAUAUAUAUAUAUGUUAUCUAGGCGGAGUGGCAAUAACAUAAAAAUGGAGAGUGAAUGUUAUUUUCAAACAAACGCGAAGAAAGAGACAGACACACAGAGUCCAAUUUAGAUAACCGGUACAGAGAAGGUACAACAAAUCCCACAGUCAAGACAGGUAGAUAAACAAGAACGAAGAAAUAGUAACAUAAUAUAAUUAAGAAAAAUUUGAGAGAGAGAGAGAGAGAGAGAGCAGUGAAUGAGGCGAGGUGGCACUAGCACCCAUUGCACUUCUGGACUGGUCAAGACAAGUACGAAGCUGGAGGUGAUAAGUGCACUCUUGUAAUAUAUAAAUGAAUCUCUGCUUUGUGGUUUCUUGAUAAUUGAUACACUUCUGGACUGGUCAAGACAAGUACGAAGCUGGAGGUGAUGAGUGCACUCUUGUAAUAUAUAAAUGAAUCUCUGCUUUGUGGUUUCUUGAUAAUUGAUAAGCGAGUCUUUAACCCAUUUCAGUGCUCAAAAUGAAAAACUACUUUAGGUGACGGCCGGGUCUCUUUCACUUUUCGAGUCUUGUUCACUUCUGGGUUUUACCAUAGAUUUUUAGAUACUUCAAUACUCAAGGAGUGACACAAAGGGCUAGAGAGAGAAAGAAAGGAGCUUUGAUGGCUGGUGUACGGUUACAGUGGUGGGGCUUGAAUUUCAGGUCUCUUGGAGCAGUUUUUAUUUGUUUUCUUGGUGUAGCAUCGAUAAUUGUUGUAGCAGAGACAAGAUUAAACCGAGAAGGUUUAGUUGCCAAUGAGAGUGAAGAGGUUGAAUCUGGUUUCAUGUUGAGAGUAAUCAAUUUCUUGUGGCAGAAAGGUCAAUUGGGUUAUACUCAUGUGUGGCCGGUAAGUCCAACUGAUUUUUCUUUUUUAUAUUGAUCGUUUGCUGAGUGCUUGCUUAAUUUCUGUUUGUCUCAUAAGAAAAUCAAAGAGAUGAAAAGAAAAGAAGAAGGGAAAAUUUAUCUCAAAUUCUUGAAUUUUCAAGAUUUGGGACUUGAGAGAAACUAGACUUUAGGCAAUAGGCCUAAUCGACAAUAUUUUGGAAAAUAAGGCCGAUCCACGACGGUAGGUAAGUGCCAUGUCCAUCCUUAUCUAUUCAGAGGUAAAGUAGCAUAAUUUUUUGUUGUGAAGAUGAGUUUAACAUUGUAUUUGGUCGGUUGAACCUUGAAACGCUGUUUUGCACUUGCUGAAGGACCUCGUUCCACCUUUUGUUUAUUGCUAAACAAAUUGUGGAAAUUGAUGAGUAUGAUUUGUGACACUGGAUUUACAGGACAUGAAAUUUGGCUGGAGAAUUGUGGUGGGUACAAUAAUUGGAUUCUUUGGAGCAGCAUUUGGGAGUGUUGGAGGUGUUGGUGGGGGCGGUAUUUUUGUUCCCAUGCUCACCUUGAUUAUUGGAUUUGAUGCAAAAUCAUCCACAGCAAUUUCAAAAUGUGAGAAAAUUCUACUUGUGUGCUAUAGCUAUCUAGUUGUAUGAGUUUUCUUCCUGAUGCAAGAUGCACAGGAGGUCAAAUGCAAACAAACUCAAGACACCAUAUAUCUCCAACUAGGUUCAGCAACUUAAUUAAGAGUUAAAAGUCGUCAUAUCAUUUUAAGUCCAUUCGUCAUAUCUUUUAAAGAUAAGGACUUCUAUAUCCUUUCAGCUAAAUAAAUAUCAUAAUGUCCCACUUCUAUACUCAUAACACCUGCACUACAUCUAAACAAACAACCAGUAAUGCUAAGGACAAUUUCUGCUACUUAAAUUUUAUUGUUCCAUCAAAAUAUCCUGAGACAAUUGCAUGAGCUUCUGUUUCUUUCGGUCAGUUAUGAUUACCGGUGCAGCAGCUUCAACAGUUUACUACAAUUUAAGGCUUAGGCAUCCUACACUUGAUAUGCCCAUCAUUGACUAUGACUUGGCACUCUUGUUUCAACCGGUGUUGGUGCUUGGAAUCAGCAUUGGUGUUAUAUUAAAUGUGAUUUUGGCUGACUGGAUGAUCACAGUUCUGCUAAUUAUUCUCUUCAUAGGUAACAAUUUUUUUAUUUUGUAAUUUUGCCAUAUAGCUUUUGGUUUUUGAUAGGCUGUAUUGUUUUGCAGGGACAUCAACCAAGGCUUUCUUAAAAGGUGUUGAAACAUGGAAAAAGGAAACCAUAAUUAAAAAGGUAGUUAAAUAACUGUCUUUCAUUUAAGGUGAAAUAAGCACAUUCUCAUUCAGGUUAAUUUCUUUGAACCCAUUGUCUCAACUUGUUUCUGAUUUUUCAGGAGGCUGCUAGACGUUUGUUAUCAAAUGGUAAGUUGUUAAAUUGGUACUUUCUUUUUUGCCUAUGCUUUUGGGAUCUUUAAUAUCUUUCUUUCAGAUUAAUUUGCUCUUUAUUCAGGUGAUGAUAAUGAUGAAGUGGAAUACAAGCUUCUUGCUGGAGGCUCGAGCAAUGGUGCAGGACCAGAAUCGAAGGAGAAAAAAGAAGAGGCGAGUAUGUCAAUAUGGUCUGUGAGCCUUACAGUGGAUCAUGGGUUUCUGAACUGGCUUGUAACCAUUUCAGGUUUCUCUUUUUGAGAAUGUUCAAUGGAGGGAACUCGGAGUUCUCUUUGCUGUCUGGGUGAUUAUCCUUGCAUUGCAGAUCUCCAAGGUCUUAUAAGUCUAUGCCCUGAAUAUUUUAAAACAUGCUUUGAAGUCUCAAUUGAUAACUAAUUGACCAGACUAAUCUUGAAAUCUUUUCUUGUUGGCUUCGCAGAAUUAUACAUCAACUUGCUCAGCAGCAUACUGGGUUCUCAACAUAUUGCAGGUACCUUAGCUAUGAUAAUCUCAGAAUAAAUUAUAUUGUUCUCCAUUUAAUUUUUAUUUCCAUAAUGUUAAAUCACCUGCAAUUGAGAGUUUGGGACAAGACACUGUCAUGGGGAGCUAUGAGCUUGAUAAAAUUUUGGCGCUUCAAACUUAUUCUUUGUUUUCUUGAUUUUCAGUUUCCAGUUGCUCUAGGAGUUAGUGUCUAUCAGGCAGUUAACUUGUACAAAGGACGGAGGAAGAUUAAAUCCAAGGGAGAGGCCGGCACAAAUUUAAAAGUACACCAGUUGGUUCUUUAUUGCUGCUGUGGAGUAUUGGCUGGUGUAGUUGGUGGGUUGCUUGGUCUUGGUGGAGGAUUCAUUUUGGGGCCACUUUUUCUGGAAUUGGGAGUCCCUGCACAGGUAAAUUUCAUGCUUGAGGGUUUUAUUCUUUCAUGACCAUUAAUUUGGUGUUAGAUGGUCAACUUUUAUGGAUCGACCUUAUGACAGUCAUUUUGGAUCAAAAGAAACAGAUUGUCUUUAUUUAAAAGAAAGAGAGCUCAUGUCAAUGUUGAAAUUGUUAUGUUAUGGACUUACAAUAUUGACAACAAUUAUCCAUCUACAUAUUAAUUCUAUAAACCUUCAAGUUCAUGACUGACCUCAUUUCAUGAGAGAUUUCAUGCAGGUUUCAAGUGCCACAGCCACAUUUGCCAUGACAUUUUCUGCUUCCAUGUCAGUCAUCGAGUACUAUCUCUUAAAACGUUUUCCCGUUCCUUAUGGUGAGGUUACCACCACAAUGUUAAAUUAUGACUUUUAUCAGCAGAGAAACAUCAUUCAGAAUUCAUUUCUAUAUAUAAUUAUUAUUUUCAAAAUUUUUUAUGCAGCUUUAUACUUUGUUUCUGUGUCCACCGUCGCGGCCUUUGUAGGGCAGCACGUUGUAAGAAGGCUUAUCAGUAUAUUAGGGAGAGCAUCUAUAAUUAUCUUCAUUUUGGCAUUCACAAUAUUUGUGAGUGCAAUAUCCCUAGGUAUGUAAAAUCUUGAAUUGCAGGUUUUUUUUUUUUCCAAAUAAACUGAAACUCUCACAGUGAGAUUCAUAUUCAUGUUACUGAUUAGGAAAUGGAGUUCAUUUUUUCAUUCAUUUCUUAUUACUAACAUUUUCUUUUUUCUUCAAAAACAGGUGGAGUUGGCAUAGCAAAUAUGGUAGAGAAGAUUGAGAAUCAUCAGUACAUGGGAUUUGAGAACCUCUGUACCUAUGAAUCCUAGGCUUGCUUUUAUUUAACCAUUAUUUUUCUUUACAUUCAAAUUUCUCAUAUAGCAAUUUGUGAAUCCCAGGAUGUUGGCCAAUCAAUGCAAACUAUCCUGGUGGGAAUAAUGGUUAGCUUGUGCCAAAUUUUU